AGCUUUGCGCAGUGGCAGUAUUGUAGCCAAUGAGGUUUAUCCAAGGUGUGAUUAUUUCUAAUUGAAAACUUUUCCUGAUACCCCAUCAUGACGACUUGAAAUAUAGUUGGCACUGGCAAUUUUUGACAGUCUCUACAGAGA
rnacentral:snRNA from 1 species